rnacentral:misc_RNA from 1 species
GUGGUGGUGGUGGUGGUGAUGGAACAGUGCCAAGGAGAAGGUUUUAAAAGGGGUAGAUGUGAGUUGAGCCUAGCACUGGCUGGCGGCAUAUUGGCCCCACCUCUACGGCUGUUCUCUUCCCUGGGAGCCUAUAAACUGUGGCCCAGGUGACGCUGAGAGCCGCAGAGUAGUGAGAGGGCUUAGGACAGGCACUUCCCAUCAGCCCACCGCCCCACCAGCUCAGCCACCAUGGAGGACGGCCACUUCUAUCCCUUCGAAGAGGUUUGCAGCCGAUUCGGGGUCAAGACCGAGACAGGCCUUACCGACAGCCAAGUGAAGGACCACCAGGCAAAAUAUGGACCCAACGAACUCCCAGCCGAGGAAGGAAAGUCACUCCUUACCCUGAUUCUUGAGCAAUUUGACGAUCUCCUAGUAAAGAUUCUGCUGCUGGCCGCCAUCAUCUCUUUUGUGUUGGCGUGCUUUGAGGAAGGAGAGGAAACAGUUACGGCCUUCGUGGAACCUUUCGUUAUCCUGCUUAUCCUUAUCGCGAAUGCCAUCGUAGGAGUAUGGCAGGAAAGGAACGCGGAGUCUGCCAUCGAGGCCCUGAAGGAAUAUGAGCCAGAGAUGGGCAAAGUGAUCCGCGCCAACAAGGCCGGUGUGCAGAAGAUUAGAGCCAGGGAGAUUGUGCCCGGCGAUGUUGUGGAAGUGUCUGUGGGUGACAAGAUCCCAGCUGACCUUCGCCUCAUCAAGAUUUACUCCACCACUCUCCGCAUUGACCAGUCCAUCCUUACCGGCGAGUCUGUGUCUGUUAUCAAGCACACUGACGCUAUUCCAGACCCCAAGGCUGUCAACCAGGAUAAGAAGAACAUCCUUUUCUCUGGUACCAAUGUUGCUGCUGGCAAGGCCCGUGGUGUUGUCGUCGGCACUGGCCUCAACACUGCCAUUGGUAAGAUCCGUACCCAGAUGGCUGAGACUGAGGAGAUCAAGACACCACUGCAGCAGAAGCUGGAUGAGUUUGGUGAGCAGCUGUCCAAGGUGAUCUCCAUCAUCUGUGUGGCUGUGUGGGCCAUCAACAUCGGCCACUUCAACGACCCGGCCCACGGCGGCUCCUGGAUCAAGGGUGCCAUCUACUACUUCAAGAUUGCUGUGGCCCUGGCUGUGGCUGCCAUCCCUGAGGGUCUGCCAGCUGUCAUCACCACCUGCCUGGCCCUGGGCACACGCCGCAUGGCCAAGAAGAACGCCAUCGUGAGGUCCCUGCCCUCCGUGGAGACCCUGGGCUGCACCUCCGUCAUCUGCUCCGACAAGACCGGCACCCUCACCACCAACAUGAUGUCCGUGUCCCGCAUGUUCAUCAUGGACAAGGUGGAGGGCAACGACUGCAGCCUGCUGGAGUUUGAGAUCACCGGCUCCACCUACGAGCCCAUCGGUGACGUGUACUUCAAGGGAGCCAAGGUGAAGGGCGCUGACUAUGAGGGCCUGCAGGAGCUGGCCACCAUCUCCAUCAUGUGCAACGACUCCUCCAUUGACUUCAACGAGUUCAAGAACAUGUUUGAGAAGGUCGGCGAGGCCACCGAGACGGCCCUCAUCGUGCUGGGUGAGAAGAUCAACCCCUACAACAUGUCCAAGAUCGGCCUGGACCGCCGCUCCACCGCCAUCGUGGCCCGCCAGGACAUGGAGACCAAGUGGAAGAAGGAGUUCACUCUGGAGUUCUCCCGUGACCGCAAGUCCAUGUCAUCAUUCUGCACCCCAAUCAAGCCCACCCGCCUGGGCAGCGGCCCCAAGAUGUUCUGCAAGGGUGCCCCUGAGGGCGUGCUGGACCGCUGCACCCACGUGCGUGUCGGCACUCAGAAGGUGCCACUCACUGCCGGCGUGAAGGACAAGAUCCUGGCCGUCACCAGGGACUACGGCUGCGGCCGCGACACCCUGCGUUGCCUGGCCCUGGCCACCCUGGACAACCCCCCCAAGCCUGAGGACAUGGACCUGGGAGAGUCCAACAAGUUCUACACCUACGAGGUGAACAUGACCUUUGUGGGCGUGGUGGGCAUGCUGGACCCCCCCAGGACUGAGGUGAAGGACUCCAUCCAGCGGUGCCGUGACGCCGGUAUUCGUGUCAUUGUCAUCACUGGCGACAACAAGGCCACUGCUGAGGCUAUCUGCCGCCGCAUCGGUGUGUUCAGCGAGAAUGAGGAUACCUUCGGCUUGUCCUACGCCGGCAGGGAGUUUGAUGAGCUGUCCCCUGCAGAGCAGCAGGAGGCCUGCAUGCGUGCCCGACUCUUCUCCCGUGUGGAGCCCUUCCACAAGUCCAAGAUUGUGGAGUACCUGCAGAACAAGAACGAGAUCUCUGCCAUGACUGGUGAUGGUGUGAAUGAUGCGCCAGCCCUGAAGAAGGCUGAGAUCGGCAUUGCCAUGGGUUCCGGCACAGCCGUGGCCAAGUCUGCCUCUGAGAUGGUGCUGGCUGACGACAACUUCUCAUCCAUCGUGGCGGCAGUGGAGGAGGGCCGUGCCAUCUACAACAACAUGAAGCAGUUCAUCCGUUACCUCAUCUCCUCAAACAUUGGUGAGGUGGUCUCCAUCUUCCUGACGGCCGCCCUGGGCCUGCCCGAGGCGCUCAUCCCCGUGCAGCUGCUGUGGGUGAACCUGGUGACUGACGGUCUGCCCGCCACCGCCCUGGGCUUCAACCCCCCUGACCUGGACAUCAUGGAGAAGCCCCCCAGGAAGUCUGAUGAGUCCCUCAUCUCCGGCUGGCUGUUCUUCCGCUACAUGGCCAUCGGUGGCUAUGUGGGCGCCGCCACUGUGUUCGCUGCCUCCUGGUGGUUCAUGUAUGACCCCACCGGCCCACAGCUCAACUACUACCAGCUGUCCCACCACCUCUCCUGCCUGGGUGACACCGAGAACUUCGAGGGCCUGGACUGUGGCAUCUUCAGCCACCCGGCCCCCAUGACCAUGGCCCUGUCUGUCCUUGUCACCAUCGAGAUGCUCAACGCCCUCAACAGCUUGUCUGAGAACCAGUCCCUGAUGGUGAUGCCUCCCUGGGUCAACUUCUGGCUGCUGGCAGCUAUGGCCCUCUCCAUGACUCUUCACUUCAUCAUCCUCUAUGUUGACAUUCUCAGCACUGUGUUCCAGGUAAUGCCUCUGACGGGACACCAGUGGCUAGCGGUGUUGAAGAUUUCCCUGCCAGUGCUACUGCUGGACGAGAGCCUGAAGUUCCUGGCACGUAACUACACUGAUGGUGAGACAACCUCCCUCUUGCGUUGCCACUGGAUUGUCGUGGCUUGGGCGAUUUACUUCACCUACAUCAAGAUUGACCCUUUCUAACCUGCCUUUCGAUUUCUCGGUUCCCCGUUCCACCCUUCUCGUCCUGCCCUGUGCCGCGCCUCUUCCCUCUCGUCCCCAUCCCUCCCUGCCCCGCCCGUGUGUUGAGUUGAUAAGAAGCUGUUUGGUCUGGGUGGGUGUUUUUAAAGCGGUUUUGACAGAGAGAGAGAGAGAGAGAGAGAGAGUGUGUGUGUGUGUGUGUGUGUGUGUAGGGUCAGAAAACAACAGUGCUCAAUUUCUAAGUUGCCUGUUGCCUUUCUACUGCUGCCAUGCUGUUCAUUAUUGCUUUCUGGGUGUGUGUGUGUGUGUGUGUGUGCGUGUGUGUGUGUGUACAGUGCCUAUGGUGUGUGGCGUGGCAAGGCAUACAGAUGUGCUGUGAAUUGCAAACGCACAUGGUUUCUGUGAUGUGCGCAGGGAAACGCAUACAUGUGUGUAUGUGCAUAUGUGUGUAUGUAUGUGUGUGCGCCGGAAGACAAACAAUCGUCCGGUAGAUUCGAACUAAAACGCAGAUGGAAAACGGUGACACGACUCAAGAAACUCGAACAAAAAAGUCGUUCGAUUAGUGACACUCUGAAAAAGUCUUUGGCCAUGUUCAGAAACACUUUGUUCUCUCACCAAGACAAUUUUCCAAGGCCAUCGAGACAACUGCGCCAGGAUUUCAAGACAGUUUCUCCUUUUAAUCAACUAGAAAUCUUAAAAAUCCUUUAUUCCUGCACUAUGACAAGUUUGCAAGGCCAUCGAGACAACUAGAUGGGAUUUCAAGGCAGUUUUCUUCCCUUAAUACACCUGAAAUCUUGCAAACUAUCACCAGAACCUUAAAAAUACCCUCAAAACCACAACUAGCUGGUAUUUUAAGGCAAUUUCCUUCCCUUAAUACACCAGAACCUUAAAAAUACCCAAAAAACCACAACUAUCUGGGAUUUUAAGGCAGUUUCCUCACGUUAAUACAUCAUAACCUUAAAAAUACCUUCAAAACCACAACUAGCUGGGAUUUUAAGGCAGUUUCCUCCCCUUAACACAUCAGAAAUCUUGCCAAUCUGUCACCAGAACCUUAAAAAACACGAGUUUCUACAAAUGGAGCCUUGGAAAGAAGUGACUGAGAGAGCAAAAUGUCAAGUACAGGCCAGUGACUCAAAUUAUGACUGUGGUGACUAACUGCGUGCCUCUCCUGUGCUGUGGUGCUGUGGUGCUGUGCUGUGUUUAGAGGUGGGUGUUGUAUGCACCAUCCACCACUACCCAGCUUGCACCUGCCCUACUCUGUCCCCGUCCCCCAACCCCUGACCCCAGUAGCAGCUCCCCUCCCCCCCUCCCCCCCCUCCGGAGUACCUCAUUGAUCAAGGGAAAAUUUUUAAAAGUUACGCAUUUCAUAAUUUAGGUUCAUUAUUUUUUUUCACGUCAAGUUCAAAUUUUCCUUUUUUUUCCUGUAAAUUAUAGUAAAUUAUAAAGUUUUUCCUAAUUUUUUUUCGUGUUUUCCCAAUUGUUUACUGAAGAUAUAGUGAUGAUGUUGUUUUUCCAUUUUUUCCCCCACUAAUGAUGUUUCAGUGGUAUAUUUUCCCGUAAAUUUUGAUGUUUUUUCCUGUAAAUUUCAACGUUUCCAUAUUUUUCCUCAUUUUUACUCAAGAUGUUUUGAUGUUGGUGUUAUUUUCCCAUUUUUUCCCCAUUUAUCGUUAUUUUCCCGGUAUUUUCCCCAAUUUUUUUUCCUGUUAGUGGUAUUUCCUGUUAGUUUAUCCCCUGUUUCCCCAAGUAGGCUUUUUUCCCCUUUUUUCCCUCAGGUUAGAAUUGUUUCCCUGUUUAACUAUUUAAUUUAUUUAUUUCUCCUCGUCCUCCCUCUGUGGUUCAAAAUUUCUUUCCCUAUACAAAAAUAAUGUCCUCAAAUUCGUUUCCAUUUUCCCCUUUCUGAAAAUAUUUUAAGCAUUUUUUUCCCUUUAAUGUAAUAUAAAUUUUUCCUUAAACUCAAUUUUUUCUCUUAAAUAAAAAAAAAAAGAUAUUUCUCAGUGCAAUAUUUGAAGAAGGUAAUUAUCUCUCCCUAAUUCACCAAGCCAUUGUUAUUAUCACUGUUAUUACUCGAUAUUUUGUUGUAGAUACUGACUUUUGUAUAAACCCCCCCCCCCCCUGACACAUCCUGUCCGUAUGUCUGUGUGUCUGGCCCAUGCUGUACACUUGGGGCGUCAUAAGUCACCAAAGCGUUCACCACACCCGCUAACACGCCCUCUCUCUUAUGUCCGCCUCCUGAAACACUUACCCGCAGCAUCUUCACUAUUUUCAAAGGGGUCUAGUUGAAGUAAUGGGUUUUUAAGGGUGUUUCUGUAUAUCACGAGGACAAAUUCUCAUUUUAAAUGGGUCUAGUUGAAGUAAUGGGUUUUUAAGGGUGUUUCUGUAUAUCACGAGGACAAAUUCUCUUUUCAAAGGGAUCUAGUUGAAGUGAUGGGUUUUUAAGGGUGUUUUCUGUAUAUCACGAGGACAAAUUCUCAUUUUAAAGGGGUCUAGUUGAAGUGACGUUGGUUUUUAAGGGUGUUUCUGUAUAUCACGAGGACAAAUUCUCUUUUAAAGGGUCUAGUUGAAGUAAUGGGUUUUUAAGGGUGUUUCUGUAUAUCACGAGGACAAAUUCUCUUUUCAAAGGGGUCUAGUUGAAGUGAUGGGUUUUUAAGGGUGUUUCUGUAUAUCACGAGGACAAAUUCUCUUUUCUAAGGGGUCUAGUUGAAGUAAUGGGUUUUUAAGGGUGUUUCUGUAUAUCACCAGGACAAAUACUCUCUUUAAAGGGGUCUAGUUGAAGUGACGUGGGUUUUUAAGGGUGUUUUCUGUAUUUCUAGUGACAUGUUAACAAGUUUUCUACAUUAUCAGCAGGACAAACACACUUUUUAAAGGCUCUAGUUGAAGUGACGCGGGAUUUUAAAGAUGUUUCAGUAAUUCUAGUGACAUGUUAACAAGUCCGCAUUACCAACAGGACAAAUACUCUUUAGAACUUGGCUAAUCGUCUCUGUUGGCGGAUAAACAAUUUAAUCCCCUUCGCGUGUACAAAAUGACCAUAUUUGUGACUUAUGACCCCCCCCAGUGUACCCCUCCUCCCGUCUCGACACUCCCUAAGGAAACAAAUACUACUACAAUUAAACUACCAGUGCAUGUAGAGAGAGAGAGAGAGAGAGUGAGAGAGAGAAACACAAACGGAAACUCACUCUCUCUCUCUCUCUCUCUCUCAGUGUAGACGUUAUGUUGAGAGAGAUGCGCGGUGAAGGAAAAUUCUCUCUCUCUCUCUCUUUUUUUGUCCUGUAUGUUGGCGUUAGGAAGGGUUAUGCAUGUUUUUAAGAAGAAUUAGACAUUUUUUUUCUUCCUUGACCAAUAAAACCCCAGAAAAAAAGUGAAA